UUAUUUUUUUUUAAACAACGGUCUUUAAAAGUUUUUUUACCAUACAUCAGGUGGAUGAACCAUGACCGUGUGAUCAAAGCAUGAUUAACGAUCAUGAUGAUGUGUGCAUCGUCUUCAGUUGUAGAUGAUCGUUCUCAGUCUAGUUCAACUGAUCGGGAUGGUCACACAGUUGUCUGACAGACU
rnacentral:snoRNA from 1 species